rnacentral:lncRNA from 1 species
UGCAUCUAUUUUUCUUUUAUGUAUCCAUUUACACCCAAUGGAUACUAUACCCUCGGGUGGAUCCACUAAGGUCCAUAUUUGGUUUGAAUGCAUCGAGUUAAUUUUUGACUUCAUAGCAUCUAACUAUUUCUCAGAGUCGAUGUCGGGCAUCACAUCAUCAAAGGUAUUAAGAUCAUCUCUAUAACCCCUAUCUCCCACA